AUUGCCUCAGUAACGGCGAGUGAAGCGGCAACAGCUCAAAUUUGAAAUCUGGCCCCAGGCCCGAGUUGUAAUUUGCAGAGGAUGCUUUUGGCGAGGUGCCUUCCGAGUUCCCUGGAACGGGACGCCAUAGAGGGUGAGAGCCCCGUCUGGUCGGACACCGAGCCUCUGUAAAGCUCCUUCGACGAGUCGAGUAGUUUGGGAAUGCUGCUCAAAAUGGGAGGUAUAUGUCUUCUAAAGCUAAAUAUUGGCCAGAGACCGAUAGCGCACAAGUAGAGUGAUCGAAAGAUGAAAAGCACUUUGAAAAGAGAGUUAAACAGCACGUGAAAUUGUUAAAAGGGAAGCGUUUAUGACCAGACUUGGCCCGGUUGAUCAUCCAGCGUUCUCGCUGGUGCACUCUGCCGGUCCAGGCCAGCAUCAGUUCGUCGCGGGGGAUAAAGGUUUCGGGAAUGUGGCUCCUCCGGGAGUGUUAUAGCCCGUUGCGUAAUACCCUGCGGUGGACUGAGGUCCGCGCUUCUGCAAGGAUGCUGGCGUAAUGGUCAUCAACGACCCGUCUUGAAACACGGACCAAGGAGUCGUCUUCGUAUGCGAGUGUUCGGGUGUAAAACCCCUACGCGUAAUGAAAGUGAACGCAGGUGAGAGCUUCGGCGCAUCAUCGACCGAUCCUGAUGUUCUCGGAUGGAUUUGAGUAAGAGCAUACGGGGCCGGACCCGAAAGAAGGUGAACUAUGCCUGUAUAGGGUGAAGCCAGAGGAAACUCUGGUGGAGGCUCGCAGCGGUUCUGACGUGCAAAUCGAUCGUCAAAUAUGGGCAUGGGGGCGAAAGACUAAU
rnacentral:rRNA from 1 species